CCUACGGGUGGCAGCAGUGGGGAAUAUUGCGCAAUGGGCGAAAGCCUGACGCAGCGACGCCGCGUGUGUGAUGAAGGUCUUCGGAUCGUAAACUUCUGUCAGCAGGGAAGAAGGGUCUCUGUGUUAUUCAGUUGCUCAUUGACGUUACCCGCAAAGGAAGCACCGGCUAACUCCGUGCCAGCAGCCGCGGUAAUACGGAGGGUGCGAGCGUUAAUCGGAAUUACUGGGCGUAAAGCGCACGCAGGCGGUAUGUCAAGUCAAGGGUGAAAUCCCCGCGCUCAACGUGGGAACUGCCUUUGAAACUGGCAAGCUGGAGUGUGUGAGAGGGUGGUAGAAUUCCAGGUGUAGGGGUGAAAUGCGUAGAUAUCUGGAGGAACAUCGGUGGCGAAGGCGACUAUCUGGCACAAGACUGACGCUGAGGUGCGAAAGCGUGGGUAGCAAACAGGAUUAGAUACCCGUGUAGUC
rnacentral:rRNA from 1 species